GACGAACGCUGGCGGCGUGCUUAACACAUGCAAGUCGAACGGAAAGGCCCUGCUUUUGUGGGGUGCUCGAGUGGCGAACGGGUGAGUAACACGUGAGUAACCUGCCCUUGACUUUGGGAUAACUUCAGGAAACUGGGGCUAAUACCGGAUAGGAGCUCCUGCUGCAUUGUGGGGGUUGGAAAGUUUCGGCGGUUGGGGAUGGACUCGCGGCUUAUCAGCUUGUUGGUGGGGUAGUGGCUUACCAAGGCUUUGACGGGUAGCCGGCCUGAGAGGGUGACCGGCCACAUUGGGACUGAGAUACGGCCCAGACUCCUACGGGAGGCAGAAGUGGGGAAUAUUGCACAAUGGGCGGAAGCCUGAUGCAGCAACGCCGCGUGCGGGAUGACGGCCUUCGGGUUGUAAACCGCUUUCGCCUGUGACGAAGCGUGAGUGACGGUAAUGGGUAAAGAAGCACCGGCUAACUACGUG
rnacentral:rRNA from 1 species